rnacentral:rRNA from 1 species
AGCGAACGCUGGCGGCAGGCUUAACACAUGCAAGUCGAACGGUCCUUCGGGAUAGUGGCGGACGGGUGAGUAACACGUGGGAACGUACCCUUAGGUUCGGAACAACACAGGGAAACUUGUGCUAAUACCGGAUAAGCCCUUCGGGGGAAAGAUUUAUCGCCUUUGGAGCGGCCCGCGUCUGAUUAGCUUGUUGGUGAGGUAAUGGCUCACCAAAGCUACGAUCCGUAGCUGGUCUGAGAGGAUGGCCAGCCACACUGGGACUGAGACACGGCCCAGACUCCUACGGGAGGCAGCAGUGGGGAAUCUUGCGCAAUGGGCGAAAGCCUGACGCAGCCAUGCCGAGUGGAUGAUGAAGGUCUUAGGAUUGUAAAAUCCUUUCACCGGGGACGAUAAUGACGGUACCCGGAGAAGAAGCCCCGGCUAACUUCGUGCCAGCCGCCGCAGUAA